UCCGAGUUAACCCCGGCAGUCUCUCAUGAGUCCCCAACCAAAUGCUGGCAACAUAAGACAAGGGUUGCGCUCGUUGCGGGACUUAACCCAACAUCUCACGACACGAGCUGACGACAACCAUGCACCACCUGUACACCAGCCACAAGGGAAACUACAUCUCUGCAGCGAUCCGGUGUAUGUCAAGCCCAGGUAAGGUUCUUCGCGUUGCAUCGAAUUAAUCCACAUGCUCCGCCGCUUGUGCGGGCCCCCGUCAAUUCCUUUGAGUUUUAGCCUUGCGGCCGUACUCCCCAGGCGGGGCGCUUAAUGCGUUAGCUACGGCACGAACCCCGUGGAAGGGACUCACACCUAGCGCCCACCGUUUACGGCAUGGACUAC
rnacentral:misc_RNA from 1 species